ACCGGCGCACGGGUGAGUAACACGUAUGCAACCUGCCCUCCGCAGGGGGAUAACCCGGAGAAAUCCGGACUAAUACCGCGUGGUACAUCUGUGGGGCAUCCCACGGGUGUUAAAAGGAAGCGAUUCCGGCGGAGGAUGGGCAUGCGGCGCAUUAGCUAGUUGGCGGGGUAACGGCCCACCAAGGCGACGAUGCGUAGGGGUUCUGAGAGGAAGGUCCCCCACACUGGUACUGAGACACGGACCAGACUCCUACGGAAGGCAGCAG
rnacentral:rRNA from 1 species